AUUGAACGCUGGCGGCAGGCCUAACACAUGCAAGUCGAACGGUGACAGGAAGCAGCUUGCUGCUUUGCUGAAGAGAGGCGGACGGGUGAGCAAAGUCUGGGAUAACGCGUGAUGGAGGGGGAUCACUACAGGAAACGGUAGCUAAUACCGCAUAACGUCGCAAGACCACAGAGGGGGGAAGUAGGGCGAUUUGACCAAGGCUGUGCCCAGAUGGGAUUGGCUAGUAGGUGGGGUAACGGCUCACGAAGGCGACGAUCCCUAGCGGGUCUGAGAGUAUGACCAGCCACACUGGAACUGAGACACGGUCCAGACUCCUACGGGAGGCAGCAGUGGGGAAUAUUGCACAAUGGGCGCAAGCCUGAUGCAGCCAUGCCGCGUGUAUGAAGAAGGCCUUCGGGUUGUAAAGUACUUUCAGCAGGGAGGAAGGGAGUAAAGUUAAUACCUUUGCUCAUUGACGUUACCCUCAGAAGAAGCACCGGCUAACUACGUG
rnacentral:rRNA from 1 species